rnacentral:ribozyme from 1 species
GAGGGAUUUAUAGAAUAAAAGAGAUAGAUACAUUUUUUUUAUAUUUUUUUUUCUUUUAAUAAAGC